rnacentral:tRNA from 1 species
UCCCUGGUGGCUCAGAGGGUAAAGAAUCUGCCUGAAAUGCAGGAGACCCGGGUUCGAUCCCUGGCUUGGGAA